CCGAUAUCGGCUCCUAGUUGCGAAACAUCUUACCGUGCCAAUGAACGUUUUUUUUUUUUUUUUCUAAAUCGUUUCCUACAUUUAAAAGAUGUCUUAAAAUUUUUAUUAUUGGCUAUCGACCAAGAGGUCAAAGAAUUUUACGAGCCAUGCAUCAUUAUCAAUAAGUCUUUACUGGAUUAGCAACAUGUUAUUUGAAGAAAUGAGUGUCGCUGGCCUACAGAAAUAGUUGCAACAUCAGUGGUAGACAACGCCAUCUAUGAAGCAUUAAUGAAAAAACAAAAAUUAAUAUUCAUUGCAUGUAUGAACACGAAGUGCUUUGACACACUAAUUAUUUUAUUUUCUUCUCUACAUGGAGAAAGAGAAAAGCGUUGGAAUGAGGAUUGAAAUGUUACAGCUGAAUCGUAAGAUGUUAUUUUGAAUUUAUUUACUAUUAAGAAAAUAAAAUAAUGCUGCAUU